rnacentral:rRNA from 1 species
UUAGAGUUUGAUCCUGGCUCAGAUUGAACGCUGGCGGCAGGCUUAACACAUGCAAGUCGAGCGGAGAGAGGUAGCUUGCUACUGAUCUUAGCGGCGGACGGGUGAGUAAUACUUAGGAAUCUGGCUAUUAGUGGGGGACAACAUUUCGAAAGGGAUGCUAAUACCGCAUACGUCCUACGGGAGAAAGCAGGGGAUCUUCGGACCUUGCGCUAAUAGAUGAGCCUAAGUCGGAUUAGCUAGUUGGCGGGGUAAAGGCCUACCAAGGCGACGAUCUGUAGCGGGUCUGAGAGGAUGAUCCGCCACACUGGGACUGAGACACGGCCCAGACUCCUACGGGAGGCAGCAGAAGGG